rnacentral:rRNA from 1 species
AUUGAACGCUGGCGGCAUGCUUUACACAUGCAAGUCGAACGGCAGCGCGGGCUUCGGCCUGGCGGCGAGUGGCGAACGGGUGAGUAAUGCGUCGGAACGUGCCCAGUAGUGGGGGAUAGCCCGGCGAAAGCCGGAUUAAUACCGCAUACGACCUGAGGGUGAAAGCGGGGGACCGAAAGGCCUCGCGCUAUUGGAGCGGCCGAUGUCGGAUUAGCUAGUUGGUGGGGUAAAGGCUUACCAAGGCGACGAUCCGUAGCUGGUCUGAGAGGACGACCAGCCACACGGGGACUGAGACAAGGCCCAGACUCCUAAGGGAGGCAGCAGGGGGGAAUUUUGGACAAUGGGGGCAACCCUGAUCCAGCCAUGGCGCGUGCGGGAAGAAGGCCCUCGGGUUGUAAACCGCUUUUGUUCGGGAAGAAAUCCUUUUGGCUAAUACCCCGGGGGGAUGACGGUACCGGAAGAAUAAGCACCGGCUAACUACGUG